GAAGAUGUGCGGAGGCAAGGCCAGUGAACUUUGGUGGAUCAAGCAGCCCCGACCAGGAUUCGGAGGAGAGGCCUUGGGGAAGGAAGUUGAAUAAAGAGAAGAACAAGGUCCUAGAAGACACUGAAAUCAACAAUGGAAUGAGCCUGAGCCCCUGAACAUAAACCCAGUAUGCUCUGCUUUGCACCAGUGACCUUAAAAGGAAGCAAUAUUUGCCUAGACUUCCAUUGCUGCUUCAUUUCAUGGGUCAAGAGACUACAGCAUCUUCAACAUUGGACUAUUGCAUUCUGUCCUUGGCUGCUUUUACUUGAAGCAGCAGAAAAUUAGAGGAAUUCCUGGA